CCCCGGGCGCUCUCGGCGCGGAGCCGCCGGGCAACGAACGGGAGCGAGUCCGGGGAGGCAGGCCCGGUCACCGGCAGCGACCAUCAGAGCACGGGGAAAACUCGGAGUGAUGCUCGGAGUGGGUGGAGUGCAGUCCACAGAGGGCGUCCCUCAUCCCCCGUGGAUUCUGCUCUGCAUCUCUCCGGCUGCGGAACUCUCGUGCUGUGGUGCCGAGCAGUAAGCCCAGCCCGUGAAGAUGCUGAAAAUGAGUUUGUAACCCGGGGGUUGUUCUGGAGGGAAUUGCAACAGCAUUGUGUCAGGAAAGAGGAUGCGGGGGCGUGUCAAAGCGUGUAUUUUACAGUCCAUAAAAAGUAGAAGGAAGGCUUAUUAGUGUUAAAUUCUUACUAAAUGAACAGACCGAAAGCUGAACGUUAACAUGAAGGGAAAGUUUCUCACUGCUGAGAAGCAGAAAUUCAUUACUCCUGGACCCUCAUUGUUACAUUUACAAAGCUCAUCAUCGGCCGCAGGGCUGGUACGUGAUAAUCCAAUGCUUUGAGAAUUAGUAAGGUAUUUAAAUUGUGAUAUAGCCCACUGAUGGAUGAACUGUAUUAUUAGCUAUUUCAUUGACUGACUGACUAUACUUACAAGAACUUUUGCCUUAUUCCAGGAUAUGAGGUGCCUAAAGGAUAGAAUAAGCUCCCAAGAUAAUAGAAUAACAAAACUGAAACACAUUAGUGGAAGAUACCAACUACUAAAGUAAAAUGACUCAAAAGUGUUUUAAUGGCAUAAGUUUCUACACAAAAGGCAGCAUUGACAAAACAAGGAGUAAUAGUUAAAAUAACAAACAAUUUAUAAUGACCUUUUUUUAGGAGCUCAUGAUUUUUUAAAAAAAACCUCAUGAUUUUGACAGAAAUUGUACAGGCUGGCCUGAUUGAAAGCAGUGCUGUUGUUGGUACUAUAGUAGAUUUGGAGAUGGCUGUUUGACUUAGUUUGGUGGACAAGAAAACAAUCUUUUCUUCUAGCUAAAAAAAUCCUGUAACCUUUUUUGUUUUUGAAACAUCAAGAGUCCAAAAGUCUCACACUUGGCAAUGGUAGAGUCUGAUGAGGCAUAUCCCUCAUGUGAAAGCCAAAUUGUACUUUAUUUCAGAACUAAGGGGACAAAGCCUUGCAUGUUUGAGCGCAAUUGCACCAAAAUAUCAAGAUACCAUAUUUGUGCCAUCAUGCUGCCAUCCAGCCUCAGCUUUUCCACAGCUUUGAGUUACAGCUGAAGCACCUCAGGAGUCCUGGCAGUGACAAGGAGCACCUGAUAGCCAACAGCUGUGUCAGCCCCCUCUAGCUCUUGGGGCAGUGAGCCUGGGUCUGGAGCAAACCUUGUUGUAUCAAAUCAAAGUUAAUGUUGUCAUCUUACAAAUCUGAGCCAAGGUGUCUAUAUUGUUUAGGGUCCAUGCUCUCAGUUCACUUGGCUGACAGCAAGAGCCCUGUGUUACUGAGAAACUUUUCUGGAAGAAUUGGGUAUUUGGUAUAAUCCCAGCUGCUUUUGAGUGUGCUGGUGUAUAAUGCACUGUAAAUGUUUCCAGCAACAUACAAAAAAUUUUGAAAAUAAGAUCAAUUUUAUUAUAUUGCAGGCUGCUAUUGCACAGUCUGUACUCUUCAGCUGACCACUAAUGCUACUCUUUGACCUGCAAUUCAAGAGUACAUUUUCAAUGUCCUGUCUUUCUCAGUAUUUAAACUCAGCUCAUUUUUGUGUUCGUUUAGUGUCAAUAUCUGCUCUAUUUCCAGUCCUGUGUGCUUAGUCUCAUCAACUAUUGAGCUAAUACAUUGUUUGGAACAGAAAUCAAGGUAUUUUCCUUUUGCACCAGUAAAACUGAUAAAGAUGUAAACUCUUUCCUCACA